GCUCAGAAAUGUCAAGCUCCUCCGUCUCACUUUCUCCAGCAGCGAAGAGAAGCCCUAGAGCUGCCCUAGCGGUCAGAAGGACACAGCCACAUCCCAGUGAUCGGAGAUCCCACGACGUCGAGUCGACGGUGAUUCCCAUUGCCGUCGCUGACUGCCACCCACAGCUGAGCCACGGCCACGACUCACGAGCGGUGUAGACCAGGUCUAGAGCCACCAUUCCCUCGCGCUCGCGGCCUCACCGACGCCCGGUCAUCUUCGUUUCUCACCAGCCACUCGGCCUCGGCGCUGCCCCUCACCCAGUCUUCCUUAGUUCCUUUGCAGUUUGCACUUGCAGGCCUCGCCCAGUUAGUCCCCUUUGCGGCUUGCAGUGCAUUACAAGGAUUUGGGAAAAAAAUGUCUUAGUCAAUAGCAAAUUCAAUUGAUCAAAAUGAUGAAAUGAGUGAAGAAGAAGUUCAGUUGCCAGAUUCGUCAAACACAGAACCUGCAAAAGAAACAACCCUACAGGUAAAAAGAGCUAGGAAAAAAACAUCUAGUAUUUGGACAGAUUUUGAGUUGAUUAAAAGUGGAGAUAAACAAUAUGCCCAAUGUAAGUAUUGUCCUAAGAAAUAUUUCUACCAUGGUAAGAA